rnacentral:rRNA from 1 species
UACGAAGGGGGCUAGCGUUGUUCGGAAUUACUGGGCGUAAAGCGCACGUAGGCGGAUAUUUAAGUCAGGGGUGAAAUCCCAGAGCUCAACUCUGGAACUGCCUUUGAUACUGGGUAUCUUGAGUAUGGAAGAGGUGAGUGGAAUUCCGAGUGUAGAGGUGAAAUUCGUAGAUAUUCGCAAGAACACCAGUGGCGAAGGCGGCUCACUGGCCCGAUACUGACGCUGAGGCACGAAAGCGUGGGGAGCAAACAGG